rfam:Massilia sp. LC238 contig77, whole genome shotgun sequence.
GUAAAAUGGGUGUUCCGCCGUUUUUAUUCGGUAUAAUGCGGGAUCGUUGGGUUGUAGGUAGUAGUGCAGUCUGUCUGUCAUUCCUUUCUUGCUUCUUCAAACGAUCUUAAACGGGCGCAAGCCCAACUUAACUGAAAUAGGAAAUUGUAAUGGCAACUGGCAUCGUUAAAUGGUUCAAUGAUUCGAAGGGUUUCGGCUUCAUCACCCCUGAUGAAGGCGGCGAAGAUCUGUUCGCACACUUCUCGGCAAUCCAGAGCACCGGCUUCAAAUCGCUGCAAGAGAACCAGCGCGUUUCGUUCGACGUGACCACUGGCCCGAAGGGCAAGCAGGCCGCGAACAUCCAGCCGCUGUAAUCGCUCUCCAGCGAUAGCAAAAAAUCCCCGGAUCGCCGGGGAUUUUUUUU